ACUCCUACGGGAGGCAGCAGUGGGGAAUCUAGGCAAUGGGGCGAAGCCUGAUCCAGCCAUGCCGCGUGAGUGAUGAAGGCCCUAGGGUUGUAAAGCUCUUUCGCAGGUGAAGAUAAUGACGGUAACCUGAGAAGAAGCCCCGGCUAACUUCGUGCCAGCAGCCGCGGUAAU
rnacentral:rRNA from 1 species